AAACGGUAGCUAAUACCGCAUAACGUCGCAAGACCAAAGAGGGGGACCUUCGGGCCUCUUGCCAUCGGAUGUGCCCAGAUGGGAUUAGCUAGUAGGUGGGGUAACGGCUCACCUAGGCGACGAUCCCUAGCUGGUCUGAGAGGAUGACCAGCCACACUGGAACUGAGACACGGUCCAGACUCCUACGGGAGGCAGCAGUGGGGAAUAUUGCACAAUGGGCGCAAGCCUGAUGCAGCCAUGCCGCGUGUAUGAAGAAGGCCUUCGGGUUGUAAAGUACUUUCAGCGGGGAGGAAGGGAGUAAAGUUAAUACCUUUACUCAUUGACGUUACCCGCAGAAGAAGCACCGGCUAACUCCGUGCCAGCAGCCGCGGUAAUACGGAGGGUGCAAGCGUUAAUCGGAAUUACUGGGCGUAAAGCGCACGCAGGCGGUUUGUUAAGUCAGAUGUGAAAUCCCCGGGCUCAACCUGGGAACUGCAUCUGAUACUGGCAAACUUGAGUCUCGUAGAGGGGGGUAGAAUUCCA
rnacentral:rRNA from 1 species